rnacentral:lncRNA from 1 species
GAAGAUCCGGCGCAGCUAAAGUCAGUGGAAGGUAGAAAGACGCCACAGCCGCCUUUCGACAACUUUUUGUUACAAAAGUGGAGAUCUACACGGAGGCGACGGCCUAGGUCGCUCUGACAGGACCCAACGACCCUCCUGACGCGUCCACCCGUCCUCGCUAGCAGGGUCCCCCAGCGGGCUCUCGACCUGCGCCACCAGAGUUCCACUCUUUUUGUCGACAAUAAUAUGGCGCCCAAACACGUGGGGCCUCAGAGAAGACUCUGGAUCCGGAAGGAGUAUCCCAAAACCAGAGCUAAGGUACCAGCUGGAGCCCACUGAAGCCUCACCGAGUUUGGGCUUCUCCUCCUGUGGAACUGGAAACCAAAAUCAUGGUAUUUUGAAAACCAGAGGUAUGAAUCUCCCUCGUUUGGCAUCCCACUGGGCCUGGACCUGUUUCACUGCUAAUGUUCUGCUGCCAAAACUAUACAAGCUGCCUGGACUAUUGCAGAAGAGAGACAGAGUCUUGCUCUGUUGCCCAGAAUGGAAUGCAGUAGCACAAUCCUAACUAAUCGUAACCUUGAACUCCUGGGUUCAAGCGAUCCUCCUGCCUCAGCCUCCUCAGUAUAGGACUACAGGCGUGCCCAGUUCAAAGUACCAACCUGGAGAAAAUGCCCUGGAUUUGGAAGCAAAGUAUUGAAUGUUGGAAGUCUGAAUAAAGGAAUCAUACACUGUAUGUGCACCUGAAUGUACUUUACAAGCAUCAGUAGAACACUUCUGAUUGAAGCUUGGUCUUAUGAAGAUAAAAAUUUUAUGUGGACCACAGAUUCUCUAAAAAUCAAUGCUUCCUGUCCUCAAACAUCGGACUCCAAAUUCUUCAGCUUUGGGACGGACUGGCUUCCUUGCUCCUCAGCUUGCAGACAGCCGACUGUGGGACCUUGUGAUCAUAAUACCACAGUCUGGAGGCUAUGAAGUCCAUGAUUAAGAAGCCAGCACGUUUGCUUUCUGGUUCCAAGAUGGCAUACCUUUUUGCUGCUUCCUCCAGAGAGGAGGAACACUGUGUUCUCACAUAGUAGAAGAUGGAAGGAGCAGAUGCAGAUGAGCAUGGCAAUGUGAGAAUAUGUCAGAGGCCCCAGGAUGAAAUGAGCUCAAGUCCCUGAAAUCCCUGUUAGAAGAGUCUUUCCACUGGUUGGGAAUGCUAAUUGUAUUUUGACAACUCAAUGUUUCAGCAACUCAAAAUGUUACAGCUUCUGCAUUGGAAUAAAAAAAGGGAGAUGAAGAAGAAGUAUGGAAGAAGUAAGAUGAAGAAGAAGUAUGGAAGAAGUAAGUUGUCUGUGUAACCUCAUUCUUCCUGGACAUGGGACAAGAACUUGGGACCCGCUGAAUGAUGGGAGCAAAAGGAGCUGUAUCAUGUUCCUGGCCAGCUGGCUAAACUGCAGAUGGUGACAUGCUCCCAGACUGUGGGAGUGAAGAGUGGCAACCCUUCUGGCGGCCCAGACCUUAGCAUUUCCCAGGCAGAGCUGCUGUAAAACUGUAUCCCUCUUGCUCUUUGCUGGCACCAGGCGACUGGCCCACACAAUGGGAAGCAACAGUGGGGCCAGGCCAGCCCAGGAGGUGUGGGCCAGAGUGGGGUGGUGGGACUGAAAAAGCUGUUAGACAAAUGGGCUGAAACAUGCCCCAACUCUUGCCAUGCUGCAAGGGUUGAGGAGGGAAGAGCUGUCACCCUGCUGGGAUCCCAGAACUCAGGGCUCCCCAAGCCAGGAAUGUGCCAUGCUGUAACACCCUCUUUGGGGCUCUGGGGUUCCUGGUGUCUCCAAGCUUUUGAGUGUCACUGCAUUCUCUUUGUCAAGAUGCUGGUGCCCGCAGCAGAAGCUGCUUAUUGUACGUGUGGUCCAGCCACAGCCUUGCACAGAGCUGGCACCUGUGCUGGUGCCUGAAGCUGCCCCCCCGCUACAGAAAUGAGAAUUCCUGGCUGAGCACAGUGGCCAGACCUGUGCUUGCUUGCUUACACACCUUUUGCCCCUCCGUGCCUGGCUUGCCCUUUAGCAGGCAUGGGAUCCGGGCCAGAAGCAUGAACCAAGUGCAGCCUGCUGGGCUGAGUGGGCUGAACAAGCCAGCCAGUGUGAGUAAAACUCAAGCAGAGGUGCCACCAGCUCUAGAGGUUUCCAGUUGGUGAAGCGACACUCUAAGGAUCCUGUGACCCUCUCUCUCUUGAUGAUCUGAAAUUUCCAUCUCCAUGUAAUUAAAAAUAUAAAAAUACAUCCCAAUAACUUUAAUUUUGGCAGGUUAUGAAUGUGAAAUUAGGGCAUGGUGGCAUGCUCUUGUAAUCCUAGUAGCAUUUUGGAAGGCUGAGGCCACAAGUUCAAGGCUGCAGUGCGGAUUAAUUAUGAGCUCCUAAAUGAUAAAAUUACUGUUGUUAACCGUUAGAGAUGUUGGUAAUUACUAGCUAUGUUGAAAGAAUGACUAAAAAUGCAUUAAGCAUGAAAUCAUUAUUAAGCUCAAAUGGGGCAUAUUUAAAAGAGGAAACAUAGACAUCAAAAUAAAGAAAAGAUGUAGUUGAUAUGUCUUAAAUUUGCUUUUAGUUUUGUAUGUUUUCCUUUUGAAAUGAUAAAAAUAUAUCCAAUAAAUAAAGUUGAUAACUCUCCUUUGCUUUUGUCAUAUAUAAUAAUUUUUCCAGAUAAACAGUUUGAUUGUGCAAAUACCAUAGAAUUCUAGGCAGUGAAUCAAUUUAUUCAGGUUUCAUUUUAAAAUGCUUUGUUAGUAUAAGACAGGUAAUAUAUACUUGUGUAUUUUUUCCUCCUUUGUGUCAAGAGCUGUAUAACUGAUUAAUUGUGCUAAUUUAUUAGCUUUAGAACCAUGCAGAAAGAAGAGUGCUUCACAGAAUGAUUGCUUUAUGAAGCAUAAGGAGAAACAGAUGAACAUGUGAACAGUGAAAGAUCUUUUCCAUGGAACUGUGUUCAUCCUCUGAUUAAAACGAAUUGUGUAAAGUUGUAUAUUGUAUUUCACCCUUAGCAUUUGGAAAUGUGCAUGUAAUUUUGGUUUUGGUGCUUCAUUACAAUAAUGCGUAGAAAGAAAAAAGGUAUUUAUAGAAUAUUGCAAAAGCAAAUUUGUAGGAUAAAAUAUGUCUGGCCAUGUGUAUUAGAUACUAGUUAACUCAUAUCAUUACUUCAUUGGUACUUCACUAAAUUAUGUCACAAAAGCAAAUACAGGAUUUUCCAGAGCAUGCUUUUGGAAAAAUCUGAAGUUUUAUUGAGGACUCAUUAAUUUUCCCUGUCCCAUAACUUACAAUUUAUUUCACAAGCAUUAUAAACUUCAGAUCAUUCAGAUAUUGCAUUUUAGUAUUGUAAAUUAUAAGAAUAGAUUUAGAAUGCAUACUUUUUGAGGAUAGGUUGCUUUCCUUAAUGAAAGUAUCAUAUUUUUAGUUUACAGUGAAAUUUAAAGAAUGGUUUAUUAUUUGAGCUACAAUUGCAAAAACUUUAGAUAAUACAUUUAAACUUGGCAUUAGAAAGAAAAAAACUUUCUAAAUAGAAAAACUUUUCAACUUUUCUAUUUUUCAACUAGAAAUUUAUACAGUUAGAAUGUUUUUAAAGAAAAAGUUUUAUCUGUAAGGGAAGUGCUUACUGCCAACAUAUUUCACCAAAGCUUAAAUUCUCAAGAGGACAUGUCAUCCUUAUAAGCAAACCAUUCUGAUUACAUCAAUCACAUUAUAUUACCUUGGGUGACUGACUUGCAUGAGAAACCAGCAGUUGUGACUUGAAUUGCAAUAUGCAAGACAGUAAAAACCAUAUUUUACUUUAAAAUAUAUUAAUGUAUUACUUUUCCUAAUAAAAUACAUUGAAAAUUUUUAUCAGUAGCCAGGAAAUUAUAGAACUAGGCAGUUGUAUUCCUGAAGCACUUUCAGUGUUCAUGAUAAUUAAUUUGAGAAGUAGACUCUUAUCACACAGUAGCAUCUGUUGAACAUUCUUGUUUUUGGUAAAAUUAAUUUCUGACUGAUUCAUGAAAUAAAUGAUAAGGAACAUAAAUUCAGCUCUUUACUGUAUGACUCAUGUAACCUAUGACUUUUUGGGGGAAGUUUCACAUAAUGGGAAUACAUUAAGAAAUGUUUUAAAUAAAAACACAUAUAACUAA